CUUUUUUUUUUUUUUUGGUGGUUGGGUGGGGGGGGGGGGGGGGGAGCAUCAUAUAGAGAUAAUAAUAAUUCGACUUCAUUUGCUUUAACAAACUGCUUACACAACUAAAAUUAAUUACCUCCAGCCCAAGAAACUAGUUGGAGACACAAGUCGAGACCCCAGAUUUGCUAGUGUCUUAUCGGUACAGUUCUACUCAUGGAUGGGAACUAUUUUUUUGAACAAAUUGUGAAGAUUAGGAGGUUGAGAGGAUAACUUAGACCUCAAAUAAAUUGGAAAGAAAACGAGUUUCACCAAAUGUGCCGGAUUACCAGAAGAAGGAUGGAAG
rnacentral:lncRNA from 1 species